CCAGUGGUUUACUUAGCAUGAGAGGGUUAUGUAUGUGAGUGUGUGCAUGUGUGUAUAUAUAUAUAUAUAUAUAUAUAUAUAUAUAUAUAUAUAUAUAUAUAUAUAUAUACACUGAGUCUACAAAAUAUUAGGAACACCUGCUCUUUCCAUGACAUAGACUGACCAGGUGAAUCCAGGUGAAAGCUAUGAUCCCUUAUCGAUGCCACUUGAGGCAUGGAUUGUGUAUGUGUGUCAUUCAGAGGUUCAAGGGGCAAAAGAUUUAAGUGCCUUUGAAUGGGGUAUGGUAGUAGGUGCCAGGCGCCCUGGUUUGAAUGUGUCAAGAACUGCAACGCUGCUGAGUUUUUCACACUCAACAGUUUCCCGUGUUUGUCAAGGAUAGUCCACCACCCAAAGAACAUCCAGCCAACUUGACACAACUGUGGGAAGCAUUGGAGUCAACAUGGGCCAGCAUCCCUGUGGAAUGCUUUCGACACCUUGUAGAGUCCAUGCCCCAACUAAUAGAGGCUGUUCUGAAAAAAGGGUGCAACCCAAUGUUAGGAAGGUGUUCAUAAUGCUUUGUACACUCAGUGUGUGUGUGUGUACAAUACAAUACACUUCCUGUACCUAUCACUGCACCAUCAAUCGUUUUGUGUGUGCACGUGCAUCAUAAAACGUUUGUGUGUGUGUGUGUGUGUGUGUGUGUGUGUGUGUGUGUGUGUGUGUGUGUGUGUGUGUGUACCAGGCUGCUCUCUGACUCCACGGUGUUCUCCUGUGUGGGGACUCUGCUGUGCUCGGUGCAGGAGCAGGGAGACUCGGCCCUGCCUCCCUGUGUGCUCAGGUCUGCCCUCUACCUGCUGUCUGUCACACAGGACAAGAGCCCCGACCUGGACUGGCCGUGGGCCCUCUCCCUCUGGCUCUGUGGUUGCUGUGCCUGAUGCAGACCAGUGGCUCUACUGAGAAUUAGAUGGACGGCAUCCACUUCAAACUGCUCUACCACGUGAGUAACCUGGCAGGGAAGCUGCAAGCCUCCAACACGGAGUGUCUGCUGCCAGCCUUCAGCUACCUGUACUGCUGUCUGUGCCUGUCCCUCCCCCUCACUGCACUGACAGAGGUGACAAACUCAGUCUGCCACCCUGUCCUUCUCAUUAAGUGCAGCACAUCGAGAAGCCUUCAUACACUCUGCCACCUGCCUCUCUCUCUCUCACACACACAGUCCCCCAGAGACACAGAUUGCGUUGUGCCGUCUGGCCUGUAAGAGAGGCACAUACUUGUACAGAACCAGUCGGUGCCAUUCACAAGGGCACACAACACACUCACACAUUAAUUUGGUAGUAUGUUUUAUAUAUUGGAUAAUGUCUUGAGUGUGAUCUUUUGGUUUUUUCCCUCCCCAGCUGUGUCCAUGCUGCUGUGUAACGCCAGGCUGAUGGACCAGCUGCAGGCUACUCUGAAUCUCUCCUCCUCCUCUUCCCUCUCUCCUCCGUCUGCCCUGCUGUGCUGCUCUCACCACCCUGCAGCACACUCAUUCAGCUCAGGUUGUUCUGUCACGCUAACCCUUAUGAAGACCUUUACACAGGCUACACAAUGUACACCCUUAUGAAGACCUUUACACAGGCUACACAAUGUACACCCUUAUGAAGACCUUUACACAGGCUACACAAUGUACACCCUUAUGAAGACCUUUACACAGGCUACACAAUGUACACCCUUAUGAAGACCUUUACACAGGCUACACAAUGUACACCCUUAUGAAGACCUUUACACAGGCUACACAAUGUACACCCUUAUGAAGACCUUUACACAGGCUACACAAUGUACACCCUUAUGAAGACCUUUACACAGGCUACACAAUGUAGUACAAAACACACUGGAGUGAGGACAGGAGCAGGGGACUUACCAGGGGAGACACACUGUCCUCUACAGCUGACAAUGGAACACACACAUUGAAUACAGCACUCAAAACAGAAAAAUGUAUCAGAGACCUUGAUGUUAGACAAUACAUUUGUCUUUUUGUACUGUAGAACAGUGUGUUGUUGAACAGAGAGCGUUGUUGACAUAGAGAUUCUGUUAAAUUACAUUCCUAGUUCUAUGGUUGUUGCCUUAUCAUGUCUUGUCAUUUUCUUCCCUUUCUGAAUCCCAAGGUCCAUAGAAGCAUCAGGUUGAACCUGGGCAGCACGGUGCAGGCCCUGGUCUUUGGGAAGAGGAAGACAGGCAGCCUCUUACUGGGUAACAACGCUCCACCACACUAAGCAGAGCAAAGCAGCAUUGUUACACAGGCUUUAAUUCUGUUAUGU
rnacentral:lncRNA from 13 species